rnacentral:rRNA from 1 species
UGGAUGUGAAAGCCCUGGGCUCAACCUAGGAACUGCAUCCAAAACUAACUCACUAGAGUACGAUAGAGGGAGGUAGAAUUCAUAGUGUAGCGGUGGAAUGCGUAGAUAUUAUGAAGAAUACCAGUGGCGAAGGCGGCCUCCUGGAUCUGUACUGACACUGAGGUGCGAAAGCGUGGGUAGCGAACAGGAUUAGAUACCCUGGUAGUCCACGCCGUAAACGAUGACAACUAGCUGUUAGGAGACUAUGUCUUUUAGUGGCGCAGCUAACGUUUUAAGUUGUCCGCCUGGGGAGUACGGCCGCAAGGCUAAAACUCAAAUGAAUUGACGGGGACCCGCACAAGCAGUGGAUCAUGUGGUUUAAUUCGAUGCAACGCGAAAAACCUUACCUACUCUUGACAUACUUGGAAGCUCUUGUAAUGAGAGUGUGCUUUUAAGAACCAAGAUACAGGUGCUGCAUGGCUGUCGUCAGCUCGUGUCGUGAGAUGUUCCGUUAAGUCGGAUAACGAGCGCAACCCUUACCCUUAUUUGCCAGCGAUUCGGUCGGGAACUAUAAGGGGACUGCCGGUGAUAAACCGGAGGAAGGUGAGGACGACGUCAAGUCAUCAUGGCCCUUACGAGUAGGGCUACACACGUGAUACAAUGGGAGAGACAGACGGACGCUAAGCCGCGAGGUGGUGCUAAUCCUAGAAACUCUCUCGUAGUCCGGAUUGGAGUCUGCAACUCGACUCCAUGAAGUUGGAAUUGCUAGUAAUCGCGGAUCAGCAUGCCGCGGUGAAUACGUUCUCGGGUCUUGUACACACCGCCCGUCACACCAUGGAAGUGGAUUGCACCAGAAGUAGAUAGUCUAACCUUAGGGAAGGCGUUUACCACGGUGUGCUUCAUGACUGGGGUGAAGUCGUAACAAGGUAACC